UCAACCAAGUCAGAGGGCCUGACCACCCGAUCCUGUUAGUCUCCUCUUACGACAAGCAUAUUUGCCUUUUACGACAAGCAUGGGUUGCUGAAGACCUUGUGUAGAUGCAAGAUUUCCUAAUGUUUGAAAGUAUGAACUGUUAGAAAUGAAAUGACAUGAAAUCAAGUUAAAAUUAUUACAAUUGGUUUAACUUAUUAUCCAUGGUGGUCCAAUGAUUAAGACACUUUAUUAUUACACUUAUGUUCUAAAGUUCAAUUUCCACGUCAUAUUAAUCAAUUCUAAGAUAAGUGUAUACAGUGUUUACAUGUUCUCAGUAACUUUCCACUACCCUGUGACCUUAACCUUCAUGUGCAAUGUUAAAGCUCACAGGUCACGUCACGACCUCUUUAAAGCUCAUGCAUUUCGAAGCACAUGCUCACCAGUGUGUAUUGGACCUCCAUGCUGCCAGGUUCUCACCUUACUGCCAGCUAUAUUUGAACUAAAUACACAUUUUUCUGAACCUCAUCAACAGUUCAACUCAUCAACAGUUCAACUCAUCAACAGUUCAACUCAUCAACAGUUCAACUCACCAACAGUUCAACUCACCAACAGUUCAACUCACCAACAGUUCAACUCACCAACAGUUCAACUCACCAACAGUUCAACUCACCAACAUGGCUCCAAGUAUAAACUGUAAACUGUCAAACGUCACGCAAUAAACCCUGUUGAUGCGA